rnacentral:rRNA from 1 species
GACGAACGCUGGCGGCGUGCUUAACACAUGCAAGUCGAACGGAAAGGCCCUGCUUUUGUGGGGUGCUCGAGUGGCGAGCGGGUGAGUAACACGUGAGUAACCUGCCCUUGACUUUGGGAUAACUUCAGGAAACUGGGGCUAAUACCGGAUAGGAGCUCCUGCUGCAUGGUGGGGGUUGGAAAGUUUCGGCGGUUGGGGAUGGACUCGCGGCUUAUCAGCUUGUUGGUGGGGUAGUGGCUUACCAAGGCUUUGACGGGUAGCCGGCCUGAGAGGGUGACCGGCCACAUUGGGACUGAGAUACGGCCCAGACUCCUACGGGAGGCAGCAGUGGGGAAUAUUGCACAAUGGGCGGAAGCCUGAUGCAGCAACGCCGCGUGCGGGAUGACGGCCUUCGGGUUGUAAACCGCUUUCGCCUGUGACGAAGCGUGAGUGACGGUAAUGGGUAAAGAAGCACCGGCUAACUACGUGCCAGCAGCCGCGGUGAUACGUAGGGUGCGAGCGUUGUCCGGAUUUAUUGGGCGUAAAGGGCUCGUAGGUGGUUGAUCGCGUCGGAAGUGUAAUCUUGGGGCUUAACCCUGAGCGUGCUUUCGAUACGGGUUGACUUGAGGAAGGUAGGGGAGAAUGGAAUUCCUGGUGGAGCGGUGGAAUGCGCAGAUAUCAGGAGGAACACCAGUGGCGAAGGCGGUUCUCUGGGCCUUUCCUGACGCUGAGGAGCGAAAGCGUGGGGAGCGAACAGGCUUAGAUACCCUGGUAGUCCACGCUGUAAACGGUGGGUACUAGGUGUGGGGUCCAUUCCACGGGUUCCGUGCCGUAGCUAACGCUUUAAGUACCCCGCCUGGGGAGUACGGCCGCAAGGCUAAAACUCAAAGGAAUUGACGGGGCCCCGCACAAGCGGCGGAGCAUGCGGAUUAAUUCGAUGCAACGCGUAGAACCUUACCUGGGUUUGACAUGGAUCGGGAGCGCUCAGAGAUGGGUGUGCCUCUUUUGGGGUCGGUUCACAGGUGGUGCAUGGCUGUCGUCAGCUCGUGUCGUGAGAUGUUGGGUUAAGUCCCGCAACGAGCGCAACCCUUGUUCACUGUUGCCAGCACGUUAUGGUGGGGACUCAGUGGAGACCGCCGGGGUCAACUCGGAGGAAGGUGGGGAUGACGUCAAGUCAUCAUGCCCCUUAUGUCCAGGGCUUCACGCAUGCUACAAUGGCUGGUACAGAGAGUGGCGAGCCUGUGAGGGUGAGCGAAUCUCGGAAAGCCGGUCUCAGUUCGGAUUGGGGUCUGCAACUCGACCUCAUGAAGUCGGAGUCGCUAGUAAUCGCAGAUCAGCAACGCUGCGGUGAAUACGUUCCCGGGGCU